AUACGGAGGAUGCGAGCGUUAUCCGGAUUUAUUAGGUUUAAAGGGUGUGUAGGCGGUAUUUUAAGUCAGUGGUGAAAUCUUUCAGCUUAACUGAGAAACUGCCAUUGAUACUGGAAUACUUGAGUAUAGUUGAGGUAGGCGGAAUAUGUAAUGUAGCGGUGAAAUGCAUAGAUAUGACAUAGAACACCGAUUGCGAAGGCAGCUUACUAAACUAUUACUGACGCUGAUGCACGAAAGCGUGGGGAGUGAACAGGAUUAGAUACCCUAGUAGUCC
rnacentral:rRNA from 1 species